AAGGGCAGGAACCAGUAACGGAGGCGGCAGCAAGCACGUCAACGGGAUCAACUGGAUUUGAUGUGGAGGUCAUGGCUGAAGCAAGUGCUGGGGACCCACUUCCCACUUCACGGCGCAUCUCA